rnacentral:rRNA from 1 species
CGCCUAAGGAUGGGUCUGCGGCCUAUCAGGUAGUAGUGGGUGUAGCGUACCUACUAGCCUACGACGGGUACGGGUUGUGAGAGCAAGAGCCCGGAGAUGGAUUCUGAGACACGAAUCCAGGCCCUACGGGGUGCAGCAGGCGCGAAAACUUUACAAUGCUGGCAACAGCGAUAAGGGAACCUCGAGUGCCAGGUUACAAAUCUGGCUGUCGAGAUGCCUAAAAAGCAUUUCAUAGCAAGGGCCGGGCAAGACCGGUGCCAGCCGCCGCGGUAACACCGGCGGCUCGAGUGGUAACCGUUAUUAUUGGGUCUAAAGGGUCCGUAGCCGGUUUGGUCAGUCCUCCGGGAAAUCUGAUAGCUCAACUAUUAGGCUUUCGGGGGAUACUGCCAGACUUGGAACCGGGAGAGGUAAGAGGUACUACAGGGGUAGGAGUGAAAUCUUGUAAUCCCUGUGGGACCACCUGUGGCGAAGGCGUCUUACCAGAACGGGUUCGACGGUGAGGGACGAAAGCUGGGGGCACGAACCGGAUUAGAUACCCGGGUAGUCCCAGCCGUAAACGAUGCUCGCUAGGUGUCAGGCAUGGCGCGACCGUGUCUGGUGCCGCAGGGAAGCCGUGAAGCGAGCCACCUGGGAAGUACGGCCGCAAGAGUGAAACUUAAAGGAAUUGGCGGGGGAGCACCACAAGGGGUGAAGCCUGCGGUUCAAUUGGACUCAACGCCGGGAAACUUACCGGGGGCGACAGCAGAAUGAAGGUCAGGCUGACGACCUUACCAGACAAGCUGAGCGGAGGUGCAUGGCCGUCGCCAGUUCGUGCCGUGAGGUAUCCUGUUAAGUCAGGCAACGAGCGAGACCCAAAUC